rnacentral:rRNA from 1 species
AGGACGAACGCUGGCGGCGUGCUUAACACAUGCAAGUCGAGCGGAAAGGCCCUUCGGGGUACUCGAGCGGCGAACGGGUGAGUAACACGUGGGCAACCUGCCCCUAGCUCUGGGAUAACUCCGGGAAACCGGUGCUAAUACCGGAUAUGACCUCAUUAGGCAUCCUUUGAGGUGGAAAGAUUUAUUGGCUAGGGAUGGGCCCGCGGCCUAUCAGCUUGUUGGUGGGUAAUGGCCUACCAAGGCGACGACGGGUA